rnacentral:rRNA from 1 species
AACGCUAGCUACAGGCUUAACACAUGCAAGUCGAGGGGCAUCANGAAGAAAGCUUGCUUUCUUUGCUGGCGACCGGCGCACGGGUGAGUAACACGUAUCCAACCUGCCCUUUACUCGGGGAUAGCCUUUCGAAAGAAAGAUUAAUACCCGAUAGUAUAAUGAUUCCGCAUGGUUUCAUUAUUAAAGGAUUCCGGUAAAGGAUGGGGAUGCGUUCCAUUAGGUUGUUGGUGAGGUAACGGCUCACCAAGCCUUCGAUGGAUUAGGGGUUCUGAGAGGAAGGUCCCCCACAUUGGAACUGAGACACGGUCCAAACUCCUACGGGAGGCAGCAGUGAGGAAUAUUGGUCAAUGGGCGCUAGCCUGAACCAGCCAAGUAGCGUGAAGGAUGAAGGCUCUAUGGGUCGUAAACUUCUUUUAUAUAAGAAUAAAGUGCAGUAUGUAUACUGUUUUGUAUGUAUUAUAUGAAUAAGGAUCGGCUAACUCCGUGCCAGCAGCCGCGGUAAUACGGAGGAUCCGAGCGUUAUCCGGAUUUAUUGGGUUUAAAGGGAGCGUAGGUGGACUGGUAAGUCAGUUGUGAAAGUUUGCGGCUCAACCGUAAAAUUGCAGUUGAUACUGUCAGUCUUGAGUACAGUAGAGGUGGGCGGAAUUCGUGGUGUAGCGGUGAAAUGCUUAGAUAUCACGAAGAACUCCGAUUG